AUUGAACGCUGGCGGCAUGCCUUACACAUGCAAGUCGAACGGUAACAGGUCUUCGGAUGCUGACGAGUGGCGAACGGGUGAGUAAUACAUCGGGACGUGCCUAGUAGUGGGGGAUAACUACUCGAAAGAGUGGCUAAUACCGCAUGAGAUCUACGGAUGAAAGCAGGGGAUCGCAAGAGCUUGUGUUACUAGAGCGGCCGAUGGCAGAUUAGGUAGUUGGUGGGAUAAAAGCUUACCAAGCCGCCGAUCUGUAGCUGGUCUGAGAGGACGGUCAGCCACACUGGGCCUGAGACACGGCCCAGACUCCUACGGGAGGCAGCAGUGGGGAAUUUUGGACAAUGGGCGCAAGCCUGAUCCAGCAAUGCCGCGUGCAGGAUGAAGGCCUUCGGGUUGUAAACUGCUUUUGUACGGAACGAAAAGCCCCGGGUUAAUACCCUGGGGUCAUGACGGUACCGUAAGAAUAAGCACCGGCUAACUACGUGCCAGCCGCCGCCGUAA
rnacentral:rRNA from 1 species